rnacentral:rRNA from 1 species
UACGAGGGGGGCGAGCGUUGUUCGGAAUUAUUGGGCGUAAAGGGCGCGUAGGCGGUGCGGUAAGUCACCUGUGAAACCUCUGGGCUUAACUCAGAGCCUGCAGGCGAAACUGCCGUGCUGGAGUGUGGGAGAGGUGCGUGGAAUUCCUGGUGUAGCGGUGAAAUGCGCAGAUAUCAGGAGGAACACCAAUUGCGAAGGCAGCUCGCUGGGACGUUACUGACGCUGAGACGCGAAAGCGUGGGGAGCAAACAGG